UUUUACAAAAUAUUUUAAAGAAUCUGCAAACGUUUUUGUCAUCUUACAUUGAUCUGGACUAUUCAAUAUGGCUUUACCGAUUACUUACGCCGCUGUUGAUAACAUUUCUGCUGCCCAUGGUUUUUGUGGCGCUCAUCUACAUAUCGUACAUUAUGCUUUGCAUAUACCGAUUACACCG